ACUCCUACGGGAGGCAGCAGUGGGGAAUAUUGCACAAUGGGGGAAACCCUGAUGCAGCCAUGCNCGCGUGUGUGAAGAAGGCCUUCGGGUUGUAAAGCACUUUCAGUAGGGAGGAAGGUAGUGUAGUUAACACCUGCAUUAUUUGACGUUACCUACAGAAGAAGCACCGGCUAACUCCGUGCCAGCAGCNCNCGGCUGGA
rnacentral:rRNA from 1 species